rnacentral:rRNA from 1 species
CCUACGGGUGGCAGCAGUGGGGAAUAUUGGGCAAUGGGCGCAAGCCUGACCCAGCAACGCCGCGUGAAGGAAGAAGGCUUUCGGGUUGUAAACUUCUUUUGUCAGGGACGAAGCAAGUGACGGUACCUGACGAAUAAGCCACGGCUAACUACGUGCCAGCAGCCGCGGUAAUACGUAGGUGGCAAGCGUUAUCCGGAUUUAUUGGGUGUAAAGGGCGUGUAGGCGGGAGCGCAAGUCAGAUGUGAAAACUCAGGGCUCAACCCUGAGCCUGCAUUUGAAACUGUGUUUCUUGAGUGCUGGAGAGGCAAUCGGAAUUCCGUGUGUAGCGGUGAAAUGCGUAGAUAUACGGAGGAACACCAGUGGCGAAGGCGGAUUGCUGGACAGUAACUGACGCUGAGGCGCGAAAGCGUGGGGAGCAAACAGGAUUAGAUACCCGGGUAGUC